UCCCUGGUGGCUCAGAGGUUAAAGCGUCUGCCUCCAAUGUGGGAGACCUGGGUUCGAUCCCUGGGUUGGGGAA
rfam:Ovis aries breed Texel chromosome 10, whole genome shotgun sequence.